rnacentral:rRNA from 1 species
GUGCAAGCGUUGUCCGGAAUUAUUGGGCGUAAAGAGCUCGUAGGCGGUUUGUCGCGUCUGCUGUGAAAACCCGAGGCUCAACCUCGGGCCUGCAGUGGGUACGGGCAGACUAGAGUGCGGUAGGGGAGAUUGGAAUUCCUGGUGUAGCGGUGGAAUGCGCAGAUAUCAGGAGGAACACCGAUGGCGAAGGCAGAUCUCUGGGCCGUAACUGACGCUGAGGAGCGAAAGCAUGGGGAGCGAAC